rnacentral:rRNA from 1 species
AAUCAACGCUGGCGGCGUGCUUAACACAUGCAAGUCGAGCGGUAAGGCCCUUUCGGGGGUACACGAGCGGCGAACGGGUGAGUAACACGUGGGUGACCUGCCCUCAGCUCUGGGAUAAGCCUGGGAAACCGGGUCUAAUACUGGAUAUGACUCCAUGACGCAUGUUGUGGGGUGGAAAGCCUUGUGCGGCUGAGGAUGGGCCCGCGGCCUAUCAGCUUGUUGGUGGGGUGAUGGCCUACCAAGGCGACGACGGGUAGCCGGCCUGAGAGGGCGACCGGCCACACUGGGACUGAGACACGGCCCAGACUCCUACGGGAGGCAGCAGUGGGGAAUCUUGCGCAAU